rnacentral:tRNA from 1 species
GGCCCGUUAGCUCAGUUGGUUAGAGCGUCGUGCUAAUAACGCGAAGGUCGUGGUUCGAUCCCGUCACGGCCA